GAGUAACACGUAUCCAACCUACCGGUUAUUCUGGGAUAGCCUUUCGAAAGAAAGAUUAAUACCGGAUAGUAUAACGAGAAGGCAUCUUUUUGUUAUUAAAGAAUUUCGAUAACCGAUGGGGAUGCGUUCCAUUAGUUUGUUGGCGGGGUAACGGCCCACCAAGACAUCGAUGGAUAGGGGUUCUGAGAGGAAGGUCCCCCACAUUGGAACUGAGACACGGUCCAAACUCCUACGGGAGGCAGCAGUGAGGAAUAUUGGUCAAUGGACGAGAGUCUGAACCAGCCAAGUAGCGUGAAGGAUGACUGCCCUAUGGGUUGUAAACUUCUUUUAUAUGGGAAUAAAGUGAGCCACGUGUGGCUUUUUGUAUGUACCAUACGAAUAAGGAUCGGCUAACUCCGUGCCAGCAGCCGCGGUAAUACGGAGGAUCCGAGCGUUAUCCGGAUUUAUUGGGUUUAAAGGGAGCGUAGGCGGACUAUUAAGUCAGCUGUGAAAGUUUGCGGCUCAACCGUAAAAUUGCAGUUGAUACUGGUCGUCUUGAGUGCAGUAGAGGUAGGCGGAAUUCGUGGUGUAGCGGUGAAAUGCUUAGAUAUCACGAAGAACUCCGAUUGCGAAGGCAGCUUACUGGACUGU
rnacentral:rRNA from 1 species